UACAGAGGGGGCAAGCGUUAUUCGGAAUUAUUGGGCGUAAAGGGCGCGUAGGCGGCUAUUCAAGUGGCGGGUGAAAUCCCUCGGCUUAACCGAGGAACUGCCUGCCAGACUGGAUGGCUUGAGACCGGGAGAGGGAUGUGGAAUUCCAGGUGUAGCGGUGAAAUGCGUAGAUAUCUGGAGGAACACCGGUGGCGAAGGCGGCAUCCUGGACCGGCAUUGACGCUGAGGCGCGAAAGCUAGGGGAGCAAACGGG
rnacentral:rRNA from 1 species